rnacentral:misc_RNA from 1 species
AACUUUUAGCAAUGGAUCUUUUGGUUCUGGCAUCGAUGAAGAACGCAGCGAAAUGCGAUAAGUAAUGUGAAUUGCAGAAUUCAGUGAAUCAUCGAAUCUUUGAACGCACAUCGCGCCCGCCAGUAUUCUGGCGGGCAUGCCUGUCCGAGCGUCAUUUCAACCCCCGAACCCCUCCGGGGGCCCGGCGUUGGGGAUCGGCCCCUAACCGGCCGGCCCCGCAAUACAGUGGCGGCCUCGCCGCAGCCUCUCAUGCGCACUAGUUUACACACUCUCACCGGGAGCGCGGCGCGGCCACAGCGGUAAAACAAACCAAACUCUGAAAUGUUGACCUCGGAUCAGGUAGGAAUACCCGUUGAACUUAAGCAUAUCAAUAAGCGGAGGCU